AGUGAGCGCUGGCGGUAGGCCUAACACAUGCAAGUCGAACGGCAGCACAGUAAGAGCUUGCUCUUACGGGUGGCGAGUGGCGGACGGGUGAGGAAUACAUCGGAAUCUACUUUUUCGUGGGGGAUAACGUAGGGAAACUUACGCUAAUACCGCAUACGACCUACGGGUGAAAGCAGGGGAUCUUCGGACCUUGCGCGAUUGAAUGAGCCGAUGUCGGAUUAGCUAGUUGGCGGGGUAAAGGCCCACCAAGGCGACUAUCCGUAGCUGGUCUGAGAGGAUGAUCAGCCACACUGGAACUGAGACACGGUCCAGACUCCUACGGGAGGCAGCAGUGGGGAAUAUUGGACAAUGGGCGCAAGCCUGAUCCAGCCAUACCGCGUGGGUGAAGAAGGCCUUCGGGUUGUAAAGCCCUUUUGUUGGGAAAGAAAAGCAGCAGGUUAAUACCCCGCUGUUCUGACGGUACCCAAAGAAUAAGCACCGGCUAACUUCGUG
rnacentral:rRNA from 1 species